rnacentral:rRNA from 1 species
UGGGGAAUAUUGGGCAAUGGGGGCAACCCUGACCCAGCGACGCCGCGUGAGGGAAGAAGGCCUUCGGGUUGUAAACCUCUUUUGUAUGGGAAGAAGGACGUGACGGUACCAUACGAAUAAGUCCCGGCUAACUACGUGCCAGCAGCCGCGGUAAUACGUAGGGGACGAGCGUUGUCCGGAAUUACUGGGCGUAAAGGGCGCGCAGGCUGUUUGACAAGGCAGCUGUUAAAUAUGGGGGCUUAACCCUUAUAUGCGGUUGAAACUAUCGGACUGGAGUGCUGUAGAGGGAAGUGUAAGUCCCAGGGUAGCGGUGAAAUGCGUGGAUAGUGGGAAGAACACCGGUGGCGAAGGCGACUUGCUGGGCAGCAACUGACGCUGAGGCGCGAAAGCCAGGGGAGCAAACG